GGAAGUGUUCAGGAGCCCUAGCCCCACAUCCUGAUUUAAUCAGUACCCUCCCCAGGAGGACCUCCUGUUGGGACACAGGCCUGUUUUCUAGAGCUCCCUGCUGUUCCCAAAAGAGGGGACUGAUGAAUCCUCCCAUCUUCGACCUGUCUGUCCCGGAGGGGUAGGCGACUCUGGACCUGCCAUUUCCUCCCCUGAGGGCCUCAGGGUCUCGCUCUGCCUUCUCCACCAGAGCCGGUGGGGUGGGGGUGCCCAGGAGCCCGUGAGUCAUAGGUUGAGCCAUUAUUUUGAUAUGAAGCAGCGCUGGGAUGAAGCACUCUGCUAAAAAUAAUAAUACACAGUGACAGCAGUCACCACCGUUGAUUGCCUCGUGUGGCACUGCCGUGGGCCCCCRAGACGCUGCACACAACCUCACCACGAUGUCUUUGCUGUGGGCACCCCCCCCCCCGCGUUUUGCAGGUGGGGAACAGGAAGAGACCCCAGGGGCGUGACAUCUCCCGAGUGGGACCACUGCUGCUCCCUGUGGGGUGAGCUCAUCCGGCUAGAAGCUUCUGGCUGACGUCAGGGCUGGGCACAGACUCCUCCUGGGCUCUCUCUAAGACCCCUGUGCAUGGAAGGAGACUCCUCUGGAGCCAGGGCGCUGGGAAGGAGAACUGAGUGUCCCGGGCUUCAGCCACCUUCCCAGGGGAGAAGGGCGCAGUGCUACCCACCGUGCCCCUGGGAGUUAGAAACCGCGUCCCUUAGCAGCUGCGGGGCCCUUGCCAGCGCUGGCUUCUCUGGUAGGCACUUUCAGURGGUGUCUUGGCUCCUCUCCUGUCCCCACAGCCCUGGGAGGAGGCCACUUUAUUAUCCCCGUUUCACAGAUGAGGAAACUGAGGCUCAGCGAUACGUGACUUGGUUACGUCCAUGGAUCUGGCUGAGGGGCAGAGCUGGGAUCCAACCCUGGGUCGCUCCUGGCUGCUCAACUCCUGCAACCAGUCAUGGCUCACAUUUAUGGAGCACUGCCUGUAUACCUUAGGAGCAACCGGUUUUGUUCCUGACCUCCUUGCAGCCUUGUGGUUCAGAGAGCUGAAGCCGCUUGUCCGGGGGCCACACAGCCAAUGGGACUUGGGAGUUGACAGUGGUAACUAGGAUGGGGUGAGGUCGCACAGCCCCUGCCUGUGGCUCGGGGCACUGUCUCAAGUCUCCUCCUUGUGUAUCCGGGUCAGGCCAGCUUUCUGUCUGGGGACACUGAGGACAGAGGCAGCUGCUAGUCCUGCUCGCCCGGCCACCUGGUGACCAGUCAGCGAACAGAUGUGGAGAGUGGUCAGCCACAUCUUGACCCUGGUGAGAGCUGCAACUUCUCCCUACAACCCUCUCCUCAGCCGGCCAUCAGCUCCACCCCGGGAGAAGCCUGCCUGGUCCCUGACCUGACCCCCGGGGUCCGAGUGAGUGGGCAUCUGCUGGACUCGGAGCCUGAGGCUUGAGACUUUGGAUCUGGCCCUUGAGCUCAGCAUGCAGAGGGAAUGUCUGUCCCGGGCCUGUCAUGAUUAAGUGUGUUUGCAGUGCUUAGAACUCAUCUAGAAAUGUUUGCUGUGGCUGGAUUCUGUCGAUGGCUGUGCCCAGCAUUAAGGAUUGUCACUUUCUUGAUUAAAAACCUAAGAGUGAAACUAUAU